rnacentral:misc_RNA from 1 species
GCUAUUAGGAUACAAGACAUUACACUCAGAAGCAACCAUGGUAUACGAAGCCGGUAGAGACGCGUCCAGAGAACAUAGCGAGAGAGAACACGGUACUGAUGCAGACGAUGACAGGAACAGGCAUGAGUCGGGAAGUGGGCAUAACGACGAGAACGAGAGAACCUGCGCGCAAACGGAAACAACAGCCGCGCUCAGAGCUCGUCGUCCGUGACAUCCUCGCCGCGCUUCUUCCGCGCCAUGCGCUCCUUCUUCAGUUUCCGCGCCUCCGACGACGUCAGCUUCUUGUUCUUCUUCGUGUCGAUCUUGUUCCCCAUCGCGUCGUACUGCUCCUCCUCCUCCCCGUCCUUCUUGUCGAUCCGCGGGCCCGAGCCCUGGCCCUCGACCCAGUUGUGGCCCGAUGCCUCCAAGCGGCCGUCCCGCAUCGCCCACACCUCCGUGCACAGCGAUUCCGAAAAGUCCCGGUUAUGCGUGAUGACGAGCACACCGCCCUCGAACUCCUUGAGCGCCUUGAUCAGCGCCGCGAGCGACUCACGGUCGAGGUAGUUCGUCGGCUCGUCCAGGCAGAUGACGUGCGGCCGGCGCCACGUCGCGGCACCGAGCACGACCUUGACCUUCUGACCACCGGAGAGACCGCGCAUCGAGUUGUGCGACACGAACUCAGCCUCGAGACCGAAGUCGGCGAAGUGCUUCUCGAUCUCACGACGAACGAGCGGGCGGAGGAGACCGAGACGCUGGGCCUCGCGGGUGUCGACCUCGAGGACCUUCUUCUCGAAACCGCGCUUGAUGAGGUCGUCACGGGGCAGCCAGAUGUUCUCCGAGGACGAGAGGUUCUUGAACGAAACCUCGUACUCAUACGACUGCUUGAGCUUCUUGCGGGUGACGAUCUCCUCGAUGAUACGCUUCUGGCCCUCGACGACGACGAUCGAGCCGUCCUUCAUCUUCUUCUCUUCCUCCUCGGAGAUCUGGCGCGACGCCUUCAUCAUCUCUUCGAGAUCUUCUCCCGUCUGGUACCGCCAGAGCAUGUACUCGAGCGGGGUCUUGUCGAGGUGGUUGUCG